UCUAUAUUGAACCUAAGACAAGUGGGAGCCAUUCUACCAAACACUCUGCUGAAUACUAUCACUAUCAACACAUACAACAACAUCAUACAAAGGCAAUUCUAAAGACAACUAUGGCUGGAGCAUCUCAAUCCGUUAAUCACACAGAUUUGAACAUCGAAGUUCCAGAACUUAGGGGCGACAACUAUAAAAUGUGGAAGGAAACUAUAAGUUCCAGAACUCGGCCACGGGCUGACCUUGACUCGGCCGAGAUCAGCCUCGGUCGGGGUGGCCGCGGCCGAGGUCAGCCUCAGCUGAGCCCGUCACUUGGCCGAGGUCAGCCCUCGGCCAAGUGAUGGGUCUUGGGUCCGCGCGCAUCCGGGUCUCGCGGCGGAGGUUGCGGUCUGAGCCGUUGGGCACGCUUUCCAUGCAAUUCCUCCGAGUCUGUUAGGCCUAAAGCAAAUAUAAAAGCAUGCUAGUUUGUCUUGUUAGGACAUCUACACUUAUUCUUAUCACUCUUGUCUUGUUAUUACACAAGCAUUGUUUGUAAUAGCGUUAUCCAUUAUUUAAUAUACACUUAUCCCACAGUACACUUUGAUCCA